CAAUUUACUCCAAUUCACCUCAAAGCAAUUAAAAAAAAUGAAUAGCAUUAAUACAAGUACAGUCAAUAUAAUCUGCAAAAGGGAAAUGAAACUAGAAACAGAUGCCCAAGAACCAAACCGCAGAUGCAACACGAAACCAAUAACAAUAUGGAACCAAUACUAACCAUAACAUUGCCUCAUUACCAAAAGUUAAACAACAGUUCUUCGAGACUACAUAGCAUAGCUUACAAGACUUUUUAAUACAACAGAGUUAACUAAAACUUAGAGAGUAGCUGGGUUUAGAAAAAACCUACUUAAAGACAAAGGAAAUGGCUG
rnacentral:lncRNA from 1 species